rnacentral:tRNA from 1 species
GCACGGGUGGUGGAACAGUAGACACGUCGGUCUGAGGGGCCGAUGCCGAAAGGCGUGGAGGUGCGAAUCCUCUCCCGUGUA